CCUACGGGUGGCAGCAGUAGGGAAUCUUUCACAAUGGGCGAAAGCCUGAUGGAGCAACGCCGCGUGCAGGAUGAAGGCCUUCGGGUUGUAAACUGCUUUUAUAAGCGAGAAAUAUGAUGGUAACUUAUGAAUAAGGAUCGGCUAACUACGUGCCAGCAGCCGCGGUCAUACGUAGGAUCCGAGCAUUAUCCGGAGUGACUGGGUGUAAAGAGUUGCGUAGGUGGCAUAAUAAGUAGCUAGUGAAAUCUGGUGGCUUAACCAUUCAGACUAUUAGCUAAACUGUUAAGCUCGAGACCGUUAUGGGUAACUGGAAUUUCUAGUGUAGGAGUGAAAUCCGUAGAUAUUAGAAGGAACACCAAUAGCGUAGGCAGGUUGCUGGGACGGUUCUGACACUAAGGCACGAAAGCGUAGGGAGCAAACGGGAUUAGAUACCCCUGUAGUC
rnacentral:rRNA from 1 species